GACGAACGCUGGCGGCGUGCUUAACACAUGCAAGUCGAACGGAAAGGCCCUGCUUGCAGGGUGCUCGAUUGGCGAACGGGUGGGUAACACGUGGGUGAUCUGCCCCUUACUUUGGGAUAAGCCUGGGAAACUGGGUCUAAUACUGGAUAGGACCAUGCUGGAGGUGGUGUGGUGGAAAGUUUAGUUACGGUAUGGGAUGAGCUCGCGGCCUAGCAGCUUGUUGGUGGGGUAUUGGCUUACCAAGUCGUCGACGGGUCGCCGGCCGGAGAGGGUGGACGGCCACAUUGGGACUGUGAUACGGACCAGCCUCCUACGGGAGGCAGCAGUGGGGCAUAUUGCACUAUGGGCGCAAGCCUGAUGCAGUGACGCCGCGUGGGGGAUGACGGCCUUCGGGUUGUAGGCUCCUUUCGGCCAUGUCGACGCCCUUGUGGUGACGGUAGUGGUAGAAGAAGCACCGGCUAACUACGUG
rnacentral:rRNA from 1 species